CAGCAGCCGCGGUAAUACGUAGGUGGCAAGCGUUGUCCGGAAUUAUUGGGCGUAAAGGGCUCGCAGGCGGUUUCUUAAGUCUGAUGUGAAAGCCCCCGGCUCAACCGGGGAGGGUCAUUGGAAGCUGGGAAACUUGAGUGCAGAAGAGGAGAGUGGAAUUCCACGUGUAGCGGUGAAAUGCGUAGAGAUGUGGAGGAACACCAGUGGCGAAGGCGACUCUCUGGUCUGUAACUGACGCUGAGGAGCGAAAGCGUGGGGAGCGAACAGGAUUAGAUACCCCCGUAGUCCCUGUCUCUUAUAA
rnacentral:rRNA from 1 species